rnacentral:rRNA from 1 species
CAACCGCGUUGUGAUAACGCUUCCGCUUUCGGUCUACGAGGGGUCAGGGUUGGAAAAGCUCCCGAGGAGAGGGAGAUGAAUCUGAACAGGAUAUCAGCUCUGGAAUUGUCUGUCUGUGCUUAUGCAGAGAAGAGGGAUGGAAUUGUUGUGUACCCAACCAUUGCGACAAGUUUUGACUCGUUGGAUGAAGCUUAUGAAUUCUAUAAUCUGUAUUCGUGGGAGUGUGGGUUUGGUGUUAGACUUGCAAAGAGCAGAUUGAAUGUUGAAAGGAAGAGAUGCAUGCAAGAGAUUGUGUGCGCUUGUGCGGUGGAUCCUGUGCGACUGACGGCAUUUCUUCUUGUCGUUUUAUCUUUGCAGGGCAAACCCUUGAGGGAAAACAGCCGCUCGACCAGGUGCGGAUGCAAUGCCAUGAUUAGGCUGCUGCGGUCGAAUGACAAGGGCUGGUAUAUAGCAGAACACAAGGAU